UACAGAGGGGGCGAGCGUUGUUCGGAAUUACUGGGCGUAAAGGGCGCGUAGGCGGCCUUCUAAGUCGAACGUGAAAUCCCCGGGCUCAACCCGGGAGCUGCGUCCGAUACUGGGAGGCUUGAAUCCGGGAGAGGGAUGUGGAAUUCCAGGUGUAGCGGUGAAAUGCGUAGAUAUCGGGAGGAACACCUGUGGCGAAAGCGGCGCACUGGACCACAACUGACGCUGAGGCGCGAAAGCUAGGGGAGCAAACAGG
rnacentral:rRNA from 1 species